GCGGCCGCUCCGUUUGAUCCUGCCAGAGGCCACUGCUAUCGGGGUUCGAUUAAGCCAUGCAAGUCGAGAGGUGCAAGACCUCGGCAUACUGCUCAGUAACACGUGGACAACCUGCCCUAAGGAGGGGGAUAACCCCGGGAAACUGGGGAUAAUACCUCAUAGACUACAGAUGCUGGAAUGCUUUGUAGUUGAAAGGUCCGCCGCCAUAGGAUGGGUCUGCGGCCGAUUAGGUUGUUGUUGGGGUAACGGCCCAACAAGCCUGUAAUCGGUACGGGUUGUGGGAGCAAGAGCCCGGAGAUGGAUUCUGAGACACGAGUCCAGGCCCUACGGGGCGCAGCAGGCGCGAAAACUUUACAAUGCGGGAAACCGUGAUAAGGGAACUCCGAGUGCCCGUAAAAUCGGGCUGUCCAUCUGUUUAAAUAACAGGUGAAGAAAGGGCCGGGCAAGACCGGUGCCAGCCGCCGCGGUAAUACCGGCGGCUCGAGUGGUGGCCACUAUUACUGGGCUUAAAGCGUUCGUAGCUGGUCUGUUAAGUCUCUGGGGAAAUCUACUGGCUUAACCAAUAGGUGUCUCAGGGAUACUGGCAGACUAGGGACCGGGAGAGGUGAGAGGUACUCCAGGGGUAGGAGUGAAAUCCUGUAAUCCUUGGGGGACCACCUGUGGCGAAGGCGUCUCACCAGAACGGCUCCGACAGUGAGGGACGAAAGCUGGGGGAGCAAACCGGAUUAGAUACCCGGGUAGUCCCAGCCGUAAACGAUGCGCGUUAGGUGUAUCGGUGACCACGAGACACCAAGGUGCCGAAGAGAAAUCGUGAAACGUGCCGCCUGGGAAGUACGGUCGCAAGGCUGAAACUUAAAGGAAUUGGCGGGGGAGCACCACAACAGGUGGAGCCUGCGGUUUAAUCGGACUCAACGCCGGGAAACUCACCAGAUAAGACAGCUGAAUGAUAGUCGGGCUGAAGACUCUACUUGACUAGCUGAGAGGAGGUGCAUGGCCGUCGUCAGUUCGUACUGUGAAGCAUCCUGUUAAGUCAGGCAACGAGCGAGACCC
rnacentral:rRNA from 1 species